CUUUCCGCUCCAACGCACGGAGGGUGAGGUCGGUACGCGGUGGUGGCGUCACGGCGCCAGCUCCUCCCGACGCCGAGGUGGGUUCCGGGAGACCCGCGGGUCUGGCUGCGAGAGAUUGGGUAACUCAAGGCGUCCCUGGAGUACACUGAGGAUAAGUGUUUGAGAAAUGCUGUCUGAAGGAAUGAAGUCAGUCUAUGACAACGUCUCUCUGCCGUGAAUCAUUCCUGCAGAUGAAAAAGUGUGACUUGGCAGCUGGAGCCGGCGCACGUGCAGGAGCCACCAGUGGUGCAGGAGCAGUUGGGGUCCAUUUCAAGCCGCGGUAAGGCUGGAGAUCUCAAGCGAUAAUGGAGAGACAGCAAGGCGCACGUGGACGGCGUGUUCACCAAUUACCAAACUUUUUGACCUGAGCAACUAGAAGAAUGGAGUUGCCAUUAUUUGACACAAAGAAGACUGCAGGAGGGACAGGUUUGAGUAGAAAUAUGAAGAGCUCACCCAAGUGGAUGUGAGACAGGAUCUCACUCUGUCACCCAGGCUGGAGUGCACUGGCAUGAUCAUAGCUCACUGCAACCUCAAACUCCUGGGCUCGAGCGAUCCUCCCACCUCAGUCUCCUGAGUAGCUAUGACUACGGGUACGUGUCAUCAUGCCUGACUAAUUUUAAUUUUUUUUUUAAAAUGGAGGUCUCACUAUGUUGGCCAUCCAUGGCCAAUAUAACAGCCAUGUAACAGUCACCGUGCCUGACUGCAGCAGUUCUCAAUGUAUGAGGAAAAUGGGUUGUGACACUGUUGUAAUGAGGCAAGAAAAGUUAAGAACUGAACUCAAGCUGCUGAAGAUCCAAGAUACUGUGCUCUUUAUGCUCUGCAAAACUCCCCCACCCUUGCCCCUACCCCCACCAAAUUGCAUUGGCCUCUCACUGC
rnacentral:lncRNA from 1 species